AGUGGGGGAUAACGUAGCGAAAGUUACGCUAAUACCGCAUAUGCCCUGAGGGGGAAAGGAGGGGAUCGCAAGACCUAUCGUUUUCGGAGUGGCCGAUAUCAGAUUAGCUAGUUGGUGGGGUAAAGGCCCACCAAGGCGACGAUCUGUAGCGGGUCUGAGAGGAUGAUCCGCCACACUGGGACUGAGACACGGCCCAGACUCCUACGGGAGGCAGCAGUGGGGAAUUUUGGACAAUGGGGGCAACCCUGAUCCAGCCAUGCCGCGUGAGUGAAGAAGGCCUUCGGGUUGUAAAGCUCUUUCAGCCGGAAAGAAAUCGCGCAGGCUAAUAUCCUGUGUGGAUGACGGUACCGGAAGAAGAAGCACCGGCUAACUACGUGCCAGCAGCCGCGGUAAUACGUAGGGUGCGAGCGUUAAUCGGAAUUACUGGGCGUAAAGCGUGCGCAGGCGGUUUUGUAAGACAGGCGUGAAAUCCCCGGGCUUAACCUGGGAACUGCGUUUGUGACUGCAAGGCUAGAGUGUGGCAGAGGGGGGUAGAAUUCCG
rnacentral:rRNA from 1 species